rnacentral:rRNA from 1 species
AUACGUAGGUGGCAAGCGUUGUCCGGAUUUAUUGGGCGUAAAGCGAGCGCAGGCGGUUUUUUAAGUCUGAUGUGAAAGCCUUCGGCUUAACCGAAGAAGGGCAUCGGAAACUGGGAGACUUGAGUGCAGAAGAGGAGAGUGGAACUCCAUGUGUAGCGGUGAAAUGCGUAGAUAUAUGGAAGAACACCAGUGGCGAAGGCGGCUGUCUGGUCUGUAACUGACGCUGAGGCUCGAAAGCAUGGGUAGC